rnacentral:rRNA from 1 species
GACGGAGGGUGCUAGCGUUGUUCGGAAUGACUGGGCGUAAAGGGCGCGUAGGCGGCCGCUUGCGUCGGAUGUGAAAGCCCGGGGCUCAACCCCGGAACGGCAUCCGAUACGGGGCGGCUCGAGACCGAGAGAGGUGAGUGGAAUACCCAGUGUAGAGGUGAAAUUCGUAGAUAUUGGGUGGAACACCGGUGGCGAAAGCGGCUCACUGGCUCGUUUCUGACGCUGAGGCGCGAAAUCGUGGGGAGCAAACAGG